rnacentral:rRNA from 1 species
AUUGAACGCUGGCGGCAUGCUUUACACAUGCAAGUCGAACGGUAACAGGGAGCUUGCUCCGCUGACGAGUGGCGAACGGGUGAGUAAUGCGUCGGAACGUGCCGAGUAGUGGGGGAUAACGCAGCGAAAGUUGUGCUAAUACCGCAUACGUACUGAGGUAGAAAGUGGGGGACCUACGGGCCUCACGCUAUUCGAGCGGCCGACGUCUGAUUAGCUAGUAGGUGAGGUAAAGGCUCACCUAGGCGACGAUCAGUAGCGGGUCUGAGAGGAUGAUCGGCCACACUGGGACUGAGACACGGCCCAGACUCCUACGGGGGCAGCAGUGGGGAAUUUUGGACAAUGGGCGAAAGCCUGAUCCAGCCAUGCCGCGUGUCUGAAGAAGGCCUUCGGGUUGUAAAGGACUUUUGUCGGGGAGGAAAUCCCCAGCGUUAAUACCGCUGGGGGAUGACAGUACCUGAAGAAUAAGCACCGGCUAACUACGUGCCAGCCGCCGCAGUAA